rnacentral:rRNA from 1 species
CACGUAGGGCGCAAGCGUUGUCCGGAAUUAUUGGGCGUAAAGAGCUCGUAGGCGGUCUGUUGCGUCCGCUGUGAAAACUCGGGGCUUAACCCCGAGCCUGCAGUGGAUACGGGCAGACUAGAGGUAGGUAGGGGAGAAUGGAAUUCCCGGUGUAGCGGUGAAAUGCGCAGAUAUCGGGAGGAACACCGGUGGCGAAGGUGGUUCUCUGGGCCUUACCUGACGCUGAGACGCGAAAGCGUGGGGAGCGAACAGG